rnacentral:rRNA from 1 species
UACGUAGGGGCCUAGCGUUGUCCGGAAUUAUUGGGCGUAAAGAGCUCGUAGGCGGUUGAGUAAGUCGGGUGUGAAAACUCUGGGCUUAACCCAGAGCCGCCACCCGAUACUGCUCUGACUUGAGUUCGGUAGGGGAGCAGGGAAUUCCUAGUGUAGCGGUGAAAUGCGCAGAUAUUAGGAGGAACACCGGUGGCGAAGGCGCUGCUCUGGGCCGAAACUGACGCUGAGGAGCGAAAGCGUGGGUAGCAAACAGG